rnacentral:lncRNA from 1 species
GGGUGAAUUCUAGAUCAAUUCAAAAUCUUUAGAGCCGAAGCAAAAAACCAUACUAAAAAACAUCCGUAAAAGAUUUAGAUCUGGUUAAGGUAAUGAAUAUACCUCAAAUAAGAUGAUCAUAUUCUAUCAAAAACAUGAGAUUAUUCAUGAAGUUAUUCUUUCUUAUUCCUGUCAAUUCAGCAGUAUAAUAGGAUGAAAAAAUCAAACCUUAAUGGACAUAGUUAACUCAAUAUUAAUCAAUUUUUGUUAUCAGAGAACUUGUGGAGGAAAUCCUCUUAUUAGCCAA